rnacentral:tmRNA from 1 species
CUUGGGACUUUUACUCAGGCUGGGCUCGUCGGUUAGGUCGCUUCAAGCUUUGACCGGAGUCGAGUAAAACAGCAUUGAAGCUACACCCGUAGAAGAGUCAGAAUCCAAAUAUCGGACGGGGGUUCAAUUCCCCCCAUCUCCACCA